CUCGCGAUAGCUCAGUUGGUAGAGCGGAGGACUGUAGAGGUAUAAUGUACAACUGUCAUCCUUAGGUCGAUGGUUCGAAUCCGUCUCGCGAGA
rnacentral:tRNA from 1 species